rnacentral:rRNA from 1 species
AUGGGGAAUGUUGAGAAGCACUUGGGAAAUUCAACGCCAACAAACUUGUUGCAUUAUCGGUUGAGUGAUAGGUGGAGGAGUCCUAGGGGAACGGUGCUCCGUAUUGACGGAUUAGCAAUGGUGGCAAUCGGCUGCUCCUUCUUCCUUGCUGCCUUUGGGUCAUGUUGCCGCAGAUCCAGCCGUUGGAUUAUCCAAAAGGGCUUCUUGGCUGCACAAGCGUUAUCUUUGUCCCUUGGGACUUACAGCAUUGGCCUAAUGCAAUCUUCGCCGGUGAAGAGCGAGAUGUAUCCUAUAUGGGAUGUAUCCUUACUCGCAAUCUUUGGUUGCGUCGACCCAAUCACCACCUACAUCGGCCUUGAAUACAAGGGCCCACUCUUGAAGAUGAUAUUUCAGCUUUGCCUCUACUAUGAAUAUGUCAUAUUGAUGAGUGUCUCAACCAUCUCCGGUGUUGUCAGUAAAUUAGCCAUUGGCGUGUUGUCUACCAUCACCUUGGUCAAGGGCUUUCAUAUGUCAUUGGCACUUGUCCUACCAAGCAGAACGCGGGACGACAUAGGAAGGUUUCGUUCUGCAGAACGAGGUGCUUUGGCAGGUGAGGGUGAGGAACUUCUAGUCCAUUUACCAGUUUCCAAAUCAUUCAAAAGAGGGGCCUUUAUAGGGGAAACAUUUAUGACAACUAGCAUAGCUGACAUACUUUCGAGCUGCAAGGAAAUGUUGGGCAUUGAAGAUGAAUUUGCACGGAUUGGUCGGGCCAUCGACUUUAAGAAGACCUUCAAAGCGAUUGAGAUUGAGUUGGCUUUUCUGUAUGAGGUCAUCUUCACCAGCAAUAAGUUCCUUCACUACGAUGAAGCAAAAAAGUCUAGCUUCUGGGCACUCGCUUCAUUCCUCCGGAAAUGUUUUGUUCGGGGGCGAAUCUACGUGCAUCGCUGUGGGGGCGAAUGCCCCCACUCGUUUUUUUGGCCCACUUAUGUUAGGCCCAGGAUACUCAGCGUUGCCCCCACUCAGGCCAAGAUAUUUGCCCCCACUGCUUUAUUUUGUGUUGUAUUUUUAAAGCCCGUAAACCUAGUCUUCACGAGAGCCCCCACGCCGCCACCUGCGGCUCUACUGCUCUGUAGAUACACGAUUAUACGACGCCCUCCACCGAUAGCGAUCAGCCGAUCAUCUGCUAUCUGCGAACUGCACACACCGGCCGGCCGGCUUGCCAUCCCUAAGGAAAAAGCUCUACUGAUCAAUAUCAAGGAAGGAUGUCCCGGGAUGAUGAGCCCGACAAGCCAUUCCGGCCUCUCGCAACCAAACGUGCCCUGGACUCGCACCGAUGAAUUGCGAUUCCCUCCAACGGCAUGUGUGCGAAUACGUGAACGAAGAGCAACGCAUAGACAGGAUGCCUCUGUCGGCAGGCAAAAGCAGGCAGCCCCCCAAAGCAAAGCUGCACCCAGAGGGGGAGAGCGUGUAGGCCUUCCUUCUCGAGGAGGCGAGGAGCAGGAAGAAGCCUCGCCGAUUGGGAGGAUCAACUCGUCCACAAGGCGGGAACAUGGUAUGCAACAAUUCACCAAAACAAAAACUAUAAUUUAUUACUUGUAG